rnacentral:misc_RNA from 1 species
GAUGAAGAACGCAGCGAAAUGCGAUAAGUAGUGUGAAUUGCAGAAUUCAGUGAAUCAUCGAAUCUUUGAACGCACAUUGCGCCCGCCAGUAUUCUGGCGGGCAUGCCUGUUCGAGCGUCAUUUCAACCAUCAAGCCCCGGGCUUGUGUUGGGGACCUGCGGCUGCCGCAGGCCCUGAAAUGCAGUGGCGGGCUCGCUGUCACUCCGAGCGUAGUAAUACAUCUCGCUCUGGACGUGCUGCGGGUUCCGGCCGUUAAAAGCCUUAUUUACCCAAGGUUGACCUCGGAUCAGGUAGGAAGACCCGCUGAACUUAAGCAUAUCAAUAAGCGGAGGA